UGGAGAUUGCAUUUUGAGUAGA
rnacentral:miRNA from 1 species